AAUAUUGCACAAUGGAGGAAACUCUGAUGCAUCGACGCCGCGUGAGUGAAGAAGGUCUUCGGAUCGUAAAACUCUGUCCUUGGUGAAGAUAAUGACGGUAGCAAAGGAGGAAGCCCCGGCUAACUACGUGCCAUCUGCCGCGGUAAUACGUAGGGGGCUAGAGUUGUCCGGAUUUACUGGGCGUAAAGGGUGAGUAGGCGGUUAUGUAUGUCAGAUGUAAAAGGCGUGGGCUUAACUUACGUUAGCAUUUGAAACUGCAUAACUUGAGUGCGGGAGAGGUAAGUGGAAUUCCUAGUGUAGCGGUGAAAUGCGUAGAUAUUAGGAGGAACACCAGUGGUGAAGGCGACUUACUGGACCGUAACUGACGCUGAGUCACGAAAGCGUGGGUAGCAAACAGG
rnacentral:rRNA from 1 species